rnacentral:rRNA from 1 species
UACGUAGGUGGCAAGCGUUGUCCGGAUUUAUUGGGUUUAAAGGGUGCGUAGGCGGUUCAAUAAGUCAGUGGUGAAAUACGGCAGCUCAACUGUCGAGGUGCCAUUGAUACUGUUGGACUUGAGUACAGACGAGGUAGGCGGAAUUGACGGUGUAGCGGUGAAAUGCUUAGAUAUCGUCAGGAACACCCAGGGGGAAACCAGCCGACUGGGCAUCUACUGACGCUGAGGUGCGAGAGCGUGGGGAGCGAACCGG